GAGGGUAUAGCUCAGUGGUAGAGUUCAUGCUUAGCAUGGCCUAGGUCUUGGGUUCAAUCCCCAGUACCACCA
rnacentral:tRNA from 1 species